rnacentral:rRNA from 1 species
AACGAACGCUGGCGGCAUGCCUAACACAUGCAAGUCGAACGAGAACAUCGGGUCUAGUGGCGCACGGGUGCGUAACGCGUGGGAACCUGCCCUUAGGUUCGGAAUAACUCUCCGAAAGGGGUGCUAAUACCGGAUAAUGUCUUCGGACCAAAGAUUUAUCGCCUUUGGAUGGGCCCGCGUUGGAUUAGCUAGUUGGUAGGGUAAAAGCCUACCAAGGCGACGAUCCAUAGCUGGUCUGAGAGGCUGAUCAGCCACACUGGGACUGAGACACGGCCCAGACUCCUACGGGAGGCAGCAGUGGGUAAUAUUGGACAAUGGGCUAAAGCCUGAUCCAGCUAUGCCGCGUGAGUGAUGAAGGCCUUAGGGUUGUAAAGCUCUUUUACCCGUGAUGAUAAUGACAGUACCGGGAGAAUAAGCUCCGGCUAACUCCGUG